rnacentral:misc_RNA from 1 species
GGAAAAGUGAUCUUUUUUCCAUUAAUUUUAUUAAUGUUAUUAUAUUUCCUUUUUACCCUAUUGUUAACCUUAUUUGUAUGAUGUCCAAUUUUCAAGAAUUGGCAGUUUCGGUUUUAUUUUAUUGGUGAUUUUAGAUAACCAUCUAAAAAUAAAUUGCCACAAUUUACUUCAAGCCAGUUGUUCCAAUAUGCACAUUCACAGCACUUAAUUACAGCCUAGUGAACAUUGUGAUUCUCAAAUUGCUUGAUGUGCUACCCUAUUAUAUUGGAGGUGAUUAAACGUUGCCAUAUUGAUAAGAAUAUAUCUGUAAUUUUUGCUCUGAGCAGCUUUUUUUAUGUCCUUAAGAUCAAAGGUCAAGGGACAUUUUUUUUUUUAGUCUGUAAACUUGUACAUGUUUGUCUAUUCACUUUAUUUAAUUAUGAGUCCUGUAAAUUUAUACCUAGCCACAUCUUUUUGAAUUAUAAAAGUAUUUGGUCAGAUAAAAAGGUCUUGAUCAUAGGUAACUGUCAGUGAAGGGUACAAGUCACAUACAGAGGUCAAAGGUACAAUUUGCCUCCUUUGGACUUUGUUAUUUUUGGGCACAUGAUGUUUCAAAAAGACAUUUUGAAUUGAUAUAUUUUCUGAUAUUGUAAUACAUGUACCAUAGGAACAAAUUGUAUACAGAGUUAUUCAUCUUCCACCAAUGAAAAAGUUUUCUACAUGCAUUGUAAAAUCGCAAUGCAAAUGUUGAUAUGAGAUAAAUGUAAUACAUAAUUGAAUAUUUUUGUGUCAAUUAAAAAAUUGAGGUGUAGGAUGUGUAGAUAAAUAGAUUUUUCCCCUUUGUUAAUUAUUAUUUGAUGUACAUGUAGGUAAAUUUAGCAUUGACCUAAGCUACACAAACAUAAACCUUUAGCACAGUAAAACUGGCGAUUAGACGUGCAUGAUUAUGAUAAAUAUAUGAUUUUUUAUAAAAUGCUAAGGGAUUGAAAUGUUGAGUAUAUUGAUAUUAGGGCCUGGUAUUAUGAAGUAUUAUUUUAAUUUGCAUUGACAAAGCAACUUUAAUUUAUUCUUAAUGUUGAUAGUAUGACUUUAAGUCUACAAUGCUUAAUGUAUUAAUCACUGCUUAUAAGUUUGUUGCCAUUGUUAAUUGACAGUACUGAUCAUUCUGUAUCUGAUGAUUUAUUUUUAAGAUAUAUUUAAGCUGUCUUUAUAUGCAAAUAAAAAAUGUCAUAUAAAC